rnacentral:rRNA from 4 species
AGAUUAAGUUAUUAAGGGCGCACGGUGGAUGCCUUGGCACUAGAAGCCGAUGAAGGACGUUACUAACGACGAUAUGCUUUGGGGAGCUGUAAGUAAGCUUUGAUCCAGAGAUUUCCGAAUGGGGAAACCCAGCAUGAGUUAUGUCAUGUUAUCGAUAUGUGAAUACAUAGCAUAUCAGAAGGCACACCCGGAGAACUGAAACAUCUUAGUACCCGGAGGAAGAGAAAGAAAAUUCGAUUCCCUUAGUAGCGGCGAGCGAAACGGGAAGAGCCCAAACCAACAAGCUUGCUUGUUGGGGUUGUAGGACACUCUAUACGGAGUUACAAAGGACGACAUUAGACGAAUCAUCUGGAAAGAUGAAUCAAAGAAGGUAAUAAUCCUGUAGUCGAAAAUGUUGUCUCUCUUGAGUGGAUCCUGAGUACGACGGAGCACGUGAAAUUCCGUCGGAAUCUGGGAGGACCAUCUCCUAAGGCUAAAUACUCUCUAGUGACCGAUAGUGAACCAGUACCGUGAGGGAAAGGUGAAAAGCACCCCGGAAGGGGAGUGAAAUAGAACCUGAAACCGUGUGCUUACAAGUAGUCAGAGCCCGUUAAUGGGUGAUGGCGUGCCUUUUGUAGAAUGAACCGGCGAGUUACGAUUUGAUGCAAGGUUAAGCAGUAAAUGUGGAGCCGUAGCGAAAGCGAGUCUGAAUAGGGCGUUUAGUAUUUGGUCGUAGACCCGAAACCAGGUGAUCUACCCUUGGUCAGGUUGAAGUUCAGGUAACACUGAAUGGAGGACCGAACCGACUUACGUUGAAAAGUGAGCGGAUGAACUGAGGGUAGCGGAGAAAUUCCAAUCGAACCUGGAGAUAGCUGGUUCUCUCCGAAAUAGCUUUAGGGCUAGCCUCAAGUGAUGAUUAUUGGAGGUAGAGCACUGUUUGGACGAGGGGCCCCUCUCGGGUUACCGAAUUCAGACAAACUCCGAAUGCCAAUUAAUUUAACUUGGGAGUCAGAACAUGGGUGAUAAGGUCCGUGUUCGAAAGGGAAACAGCCCAGACCACCAGCUAAGGUCCCAAAAUAUAUGUUAAGUGGAAAAGGAUGUGGCGUUGCCCAGACAACUAGGAUGUUGGCUUAGAAGCAGCCAUCAUUUAAAGAGUGCGUAAUAGCUCACUAGUCGAGUGACACUGCGCCGAAAAUGUACCGGGGCUAAACAUAUUACCGAAGCUGUGGAUUGUCCUUUGGACAAUGGUAGGAGAGCGUUCUAAGGGCGUUGAAGCAUGAUCGUAAGGACAUGUGGAGCGCUUAGAAGUGAGAAUGCCGGUGUGAGUAGCGAAAGACGGGUGAGAAUCCCGUCCACCGAUUGACUAAGGUUUCCAGAGGAAGGCUCGUCCGCUCUGGGUUAGUCGGGUCCUAAGCUGAGGCCGACAGGCGUAGGCGAUGGAUAACAGGUUGAUAUUCCUGUACCACCUAUAAUCGUUUUAAUCGAUGGGGGGACGCAGUAGGAUAGGCGAAGCGUGCGAUUGGAUUGCACGUCUAAGCAGUAAGGCUGAGUAUUAGGCAAAUCCGGUACUCGUUAAGGCUGAGCUGUGAUGGGGAGAAGACAUUGUGUCUUCGAGUCGUUGAUUUCACACUGCCGAGAAAAGCCUCUAGAUAGAAAAUAGGUGCCCGUACCGCAAACCGACACAGGUAGUCAAGAUGAGAAUUCUAAGGUGAGCGAGCGAACUCUCGUUAAGGAACUCGGCAAAAUGACCCCGUAACUUCGGGAGAAGGGGUGCUCUUUAGGGUUAACGCCCAGAAGAGCCGCAGUGAAUAGGCCCAAGCGACUGUUUAUCAAAAACACAGGUCUCUGCUAAACCGUAAGGUGAUGUAUAGGGGCUGACGCCUGCCCGGUGCUGGAAGGUUAAGAGGAGUGGUUAGCUUCUGCGAAGCUACGAAUCGAAGCCCCAGUAAACGGCGGCCGUAACUAUAACGGUCCUAAGGUAGCGAAAUUCCUUGUCGGGUAAGUUCCGACCCGCACGAAAGGCGUAACGAUUUGGGCACUGUCUCAACGAGAGACUCGGUGAAAUCAUAGUACCUGUGAAGAUGCAGGUUACCCGCGACAGGACGGAAAGACCCCGUGGAGCUUUACUGUAGCCUGAUAUUGAAAUUCGGCACAGCUUGUACAGGAUAGGUAGGAGCCUUUGAAACGUGAGCGCUAGCUUACGUGGAGGCGCUGGUGGGAUACUACCCUAGCUGUGUUGGCUUUCUAACCCGCACCACUUAUCGUGGUGGGAGACAGUGUCAGGCGGGCAGUUUGACUGGGGCGGUCGCCUCCUAAAAGGUAACGGAGGCGCUCAAAGGUUCCCUCAGAAUGGUUGGAAAUCAUUCAUAGAGUGUAAAGGCAUAAGGGAGCUUGACUGCGAGACCUACAAGUCGAGCAGGGUCGAAAGACGGACUUAGUGAUCCGGUGGUUCCGCAUGGAAGGGCCAUCGCUCAACGGAUAAAAGCUACCCCGGGGAUAACAGGCUUAUCUCCCCCAAGAGUUCACAUCGACGGGGAGGUUUGGCACCUCGAUGUCGGCUCAUCGCAUCCUGGGGCUGUAGUCGGUCCCAAGGGUUGGGCUGUUCGCCCAUUAAAGCGGUACGCGAGCUGGGUUCAGAACGUCGUGAGACAGUUCGGUCCCUAUCCGUCGUGGGCGUAGGAAAUUUGAGAGGAGCUGUCCUUAGUACGAGAGGACCGGGAUGGACAUACCUCUGGUGUACCAGUUGUCGUGCCAACGGCAUAGCUGGGUAGCUAUGUGUGGACGGGAUAAGUGCUGAAAGCAUCUAAGCAUGAAGCCCCCCUCAAGAUGAGAUUUCCCAACUUCGGUUAUAAGAUCCCUCAAAGAUGAUGAGGUUAAUAGGUUCGAGGUGGAAGCAUGGUGACAUGUGGAGCUGACGAAUACUAAUCGAUCGAAGACUUAAUCAAAUU